AGUCAGAUGUUGGAUAUGUAACCCAAAAGGUACACUGGGGGAAAUUUUUGAAAAACUCUGUCAAAAAUGACUAAUAGACAAAAAAUUAAGUUUGAUACAGGACUUGUGAAAAAGCUUCGCAAACUGCAAAGCACUCUCUUAGAGGUCAUAACUGAUAAAAAAACAAACACAUGUAAGAGCUCUUCUAUUUCCAUACUCAACAUCGUGAUUAUCUCCUACUUGAAUAAAUUAUCAGGGGCAUGGAGUAUACCAUCAUGCUUUACUACUUUCCAUUUUGGUUAGUUCCUUAAUUUCAUGUGGGCUGAUUUGUUACCAGCCUCACCAUCUUCUUUCAAGAGCUCAACCCACAUUAGCAGAGUUCCUUAUUAGAGAAAGGCCCUCUUUAAUAGGCUAUCCUAAUGAUGUCUGAUUUUUAAUAAUUUUUAAUUUUCAGGCUAUGAAUUACACAAGUAAGGCAUUUUUCACACAAGUUCCCUGAGAAUUUUAUAAAUUAUAGAUGCAAAAUCUGUCCACUUCCAGGAUUCCGCUUGACCAGUGAAAGAGGAAUGGUGUCUCUAUUCCCUCAUUCUACAUGCACUUGAUAACUGUGUCCUUCACAGCAGAUGCACAUUCUGAACCCUUAAUUUAAGAGACACUUAUGGUGUGGAUGAAGGAUGAGAGGUGUCCCUUUUCUCCUUCAAAGAGUAAAAGGAAAGAAAUCUGAGAACAUUUCUGAGGCUCGGGAAAAAAAAGAUUUCUUCUCUGAUCCAGGAUCUUAAGAGUAAUUCACAGAAAAGGAUUUCUUUUUUGACCCUAAGACCAAGAACACUCAGGUGAGUCAUAAUUAUAGAGACUUAAAAGAGGUAAUGUGAAGAUCCAUAAAUGCAAGAAAAAUCUUAUCUUAUCUUCAAAAUAGGGAGAAUGAUAAAUUUUAAAUAACUGAAAGGAGGAAAAAUUAAUAUAUGAUAAUUAGUGAAUUUUAAACAUAAAAGGCCAUAUGCAAUAGUGAAGCUCUUUUAAGGAAAUGUUUUCAACAGGUAUGGGUUUUAAAACAUGGGGAGGACAAUGUGAAAGGGGCAGAGAUGUCUGCAUCAUCACUGAAGGCCUUAUUCUUUGAAAAAUCCUCAUCUUUCUGAAAUUUUCGCCCCCAGUAAGUCUCGCAUACUUCCAAGUCAAGCAUACCCUUUAGUUAUUAUAAAAUGCCCUGAUGACCUGACAACUCAUAAUAGAUGAAUCAGAUAUCUGUGUUUCUCUGCCAUUCAAAGUCAUGGUAAGAAAAUAUUAAGAAUUACAUGACUGGGUACAAUGCAUGCCAUGGAGGCCAGACAGCAGUGAAAUAAUAAGUGGUAUUUCUUAAAGACACUGCAUAUUUGAUAACUAUCAUUCCUUUAGCAAACAUUCAUUGAAUACUUACUAUGUGCCAAGUACUGGAAAUAAUAAAGAAAAUCAGUAUUUCCUGGCUUUAUUAUAAAAUGUUUUAUUGGCUUAAAAAUAGAAUUUCAUGGAAAACAUUUUAUUGGCUAUAUUCUGGUGGAAGAAAGGAAGAGAAGAGGGACAAGUUGGCCCAAACUUAUUUGUUUUAACAGAAGUCUUUAUAUUUUCAUCCUGAUAUUCCAGGUUUUACUAAACAAUAAGAGAGUUGAACUGGCAGGCUGGAAAGACUAAGGCUUUGUGGUUACCAUAGCUGUUUGUACUUCACACACUUUGUGUGAACAAAAGAGAAAAUGAGGCCUUACUCCUCUCUCUUUCAAUUAGCUAAGCAAAGCAAAGAGAAUUACAUGGUGCUGUUAAUACCAUAAUUUCACAUCUUUAUCAACGUUUAUUUUUUUACAAGUUCUUAAAAAGAAUAUGCCCUAUCUCAUCUACCUCAGAGUCAACUGUUUUUUCUUCAGCUUGUAAGAGCUGCCCACCAAAUACAAAGAAGCUGGGCCUGCUUGGCAUCAUGAACCCAAAGAAGAAAACCAAAGAGAAUACAGUUAAAAACACAAAUACCACUUUUUGGUAACCUGAACAUCCCUCUAUAAUUACCAUCUCUUCCAGAAAUUGAUAAAUACAAUCAUAAUCUGUCAGUGUAAAUACAGCUCCUUUUUAGAAUACUAGGAAAUACUGAAAUUAAGCAUCUCAUACAAGCUAGAGAUCAAUGAACUAUGCAAGAAUAUCAAGUGAUCACCACCAUAAAUGUAGAAUGGGUCACCUGCAAAUACAAAAUGUGUUCUAAAGAAAUGUACUUAAAACCACAUUGCAAACUGUUGAUUUUCUCUUGAAGAGAACUUGAAAACAUUUUUAAAAUUAUAAUAUUUGGGAUGAUCAUUAUUAUCUUCUAAAGAAUUUUUUUUCGUUUACCAAUGUUUAUUUAGGAGAACGUUAUUUCCAAAACUUUUGAGAACAUUAACAUUAUUAAUUUUUAGUAUUGUACUGUAACAUUGAGCACUUAUGAGUCAAUUUCAUAUACUUCCACCUAUUGGCAUUCUUACCCCAAUUUUACAAGUAAGAAAAGGGAGGGAAAAAAAGGUAGUAAUUAAGUUGUCCUAGGUCACCCAGCUAGGAAGAGAAGAGAACUUUAAUAGCAUGCCUUGGAUAAUUUAUUGAGAUUGCCUUCUGUAGCCUAAAAAGGAUCGAUUUGACAAAUGUUUUUUAAGUACUGGAAGGUGGCAUGGGAAGAUACAGUCUACAUUUAUAGUGUAUUACACUAAGUAUAGAUCCAUUCAAAUCCUAAUUAACUUUAUUUUUAUUUACUUGACCUAAUUCUGAUAACAUUGUUAAAACACCUGCUAAUUCCCAAAAUGCAAGUGCCUCUUAGAACAGUGUAUUACAUGUUUUGGGCUUUUAGGAUUGUUGAAGCACAGCAUUUGUUUUGAACUAAACGGGACACUUGCAGAGGGUUGGCAUGGCAUCUUAUUCAAACUCUACACAGUGGCUCUAUGUCAUGUGGAACUACUCUCUGUCACAUAGUAAUUCACUCAAAGCUUGUUGGUCUUAACUCAGAUCGCUCCUAUUUCCAAAAUGAGUAUCUUUAUUCUCAAGUGGUACACUUGUUUCUAAUCCCUACUAUUUCCAUGUUCAACCAUUUUAUCACAAUAUUUAUGGUUUGUCCCUAAUAUCCUUUCCCUUCAUAUAUAUUAUUAAUUAUAAAUAGUUCAUACUCUUUGAAUUAUUCUGGUUUUUUUGGGGGGUAACAUCUAAAAUUUAUUGCUUGGUUAUUAGCACUGUAAGAUUUAAACAUAUAUAAAGGAUCUAUGGUUUUGACUGCUUGAAAAACCCUGUGAUGAAAGAGAACUGCCCAAAUUUUAUCUUAUAUGAAUGCUUUUCUUCUACUUUCCCAAAUUAAAACAUUUAACUCAAAUGUCACUUGCUCAAAGAGGUCUCCCCUGACCUCCUAAUCUAAAUUAGAUCCCCAAUUAUCCUCAUCUAGAACAUUCUGCUCUUUUCCUUCAGGGCAUCUAUCAUGAUCAGGGUACAUUUUAAAUAAUAUAUAUUAAUAUAAACCCCAUAAGGGCAGAGGUCAUGCCUUUACUCUUCAUUUUAUAAUAAAUGCUUGAUUAGCACAGUGCUCACACAUAGGGAGCAUUCAAUAAAUACUUGAUGAAGUAGUUCAUUAAUAAUUAACAAAUAUUAUUAAAAGUAUAGUCACAGGGGAGAAGGCAUCAAACUCAACUGGGAGAUUACUUCUAGAGUGCUUAUUUACCAUUCUGGACUAGAUAAAUCAGAAUUACUCUGGGCUAUCUUGAGAAAUCCAACACGCCAUGUUUUACUCAACUCAACUCAGGCCAGUGAUACAUACAGCAUCACCUGUAAACAGCAGUAAAAGUCACAUAGCUUGGAAAGUGCUUUGCCCUGCCCUGGGCCAGGGGCAGUACUGGAUGGAGGCAACAUAAAGCCUUUGGGUAUCAGGAGGUAGAAAUGUAUUAGUAUAAAACCACAAAUUAUGAUCAUUCUGUCAUCAUGUUAAACAGCAGAGAGCAACUCAAGAGGAACCUCUGGUGACAUCACGCAGAGAGUUUAUAUGUGAAUAGCUGUAAUGCUGCACCCUUCCCCAGAGAACCUAAAACCUGGAAUCAGAUCGCAAGGAACUCUUACACCCCCAAAGUCCAAGAGAUCUCAGCCUUUGGUUUCAUGACAAAUAACCCGACUCAGAAUGGGACAUGGGUUCUCAUCUUAACCUUUCCUGGGCUCUCUUCUCAGCCAACUUGGGAGCUCAAGUCCUGUAAGGCACCAGUCUUCAUCACCCUGUCCCCUUCUUUACAAAUGUGCUGCUCAGAAUGGAAUGGCACCUGUGACACUUGAGGACAGUUACUUCAUAUGAGAAACCUAUCAUCUUUGUAUCUUGCAGAGAGAAAUAAGAAAAAAAAAAGACCUCAGACCACACAAAAUAAUCAAAUAAAUGCUAAUGUAUCUUUACCAAUUUCAGUCCCGAGUUGCCUCCACAUGUCACAGGCUAUUGCCCUCAAAGAGAAUUCUUGAGACCCAACAUUAAUUGUGAAAUGCACCAUGAUCUCAGAUCCAAGCUAAAAUGCAACUUUCUUUUCUGUGAGGCCCUUAACCAGGCUUUAGUAACACAUACGAGCACUCAGGAUUAUUCUGUCACCUGACAGAAAAUGCUUUGUAGGAUGGGCAACGUUUACAGCAGAGAAGAGCCUGUCGGAUAGUAACUCCAUUAUAAUAAUUCUUCUAGAAAGAAAAGACGGCAGGGAAAAGCGUUUAGUAAAGUGAGUGGGAGGCUAGUUUCCAAAACUGGCAAAGUAGAGAGCUUUAAAAACCUGCAAUCCCUAAGUAGUCAGAGAAUAGUGUUAACCCACUCCCUUUUGAUUUCCAUAAAAGUAGGCUUGAGAUUUGAUGUACUUACUGAGAGAAGGAAGAAGAGAGAGAAACAUUCAUACAUUUUUCUUUAUGCAGAGAUGGACAUGGUAUAGGAAUUAAAAGAAAAGCUGUGUUCCUUUAGUUCAGUGUUCCUUUGGCAGGAUCAGGCAAAAACUCGGGUCUGGUCCAAACCCUAGAGGGACCAUAAACGUCACCCAGAAAAAAUAUAUAUCCAUUUUCCAGAGUCCUACUUCUUCUACGGCAGAAACAACGAUAAAGAAUUCAGAGGUGAAAAGAAUUAGUACAUCAUAAAAAAUAGGGAAGAAAAAUAAAAUACUCUCACAUUGACUGUUCCUAAGAAAAUUUACUCACAUACUUAAAUUUAUGCAGCAAAUUAGCAGGAGCCUCAUAAAUACUGGACCCAUAAUGAAGCUGUAAUCAUUCAUUUUAUUUACAUUUCAUUAGGGGGCACUAUAGUAAUGAUCUUCGAAAGAUUUCACUGCAGCCAAUGAAAAAGGAAGUGGACAACCUAAGGGGGGGGCGGGGGCGGGCAUAAAAAGAGAAUGCCAUUUGUCCCAAAGGCACAGAAUUAUUAAAAACAAUCUGCUUAAAAAGUUACUAUGUGCUUUCUAUGCAUUUCCAACUCGUAAUUGCUUUCUAAAUUACUUUUGCUCCACAACACUACAUGCAAGGUAUAUUUGACUAAAGAAUUCAGGCUGAACUUUGAGCAUUACAUGGGAAACAAACAAACUUCCAUGAAAUAGAGGCUGCAACAGUAAUUUCCGAUACACCUAGAAUAUUCGCCACUUGUCAUUUAGUGUUGGCAAAAUCCACGACCACCUUUCAGACACCUACAUAGCAAUUUGAAUAGCUGUACCGGAGGGCAGAGCAGCAAUACACUGAAUAAAACACCCAGCACCCACACCAUUCCUUCGAAGGCUGUUGGCCAUACAUUUCAAAUAACCUGAAAUGAAGAUCAAAAUGGAAUAGAAUGUACUUAUUUAUUUUACCUGACGCAAUAAAUGAAUAGGAAGUAAAAUUUAAGGUUAAAAAUAA